UCCCAAGCUGAACUUGGCUUUAUCCUUUCCUGUAUCCAACGUAUACUUCUAAAUCUGCAAUGUUAAAUCAUGAUAUAACAAGCGUGAGCAUAAGAUUGCCCAUCAAGUUUAAGUUUAAUAAUAUAACGAUAUAUCAUGAUUGACAAAAUCUGAAUAAUAAGCUGGCUAUAAUUCAACAAUACAAUUGUGAACUAGCAAGAACAAACAUUUGACUGAACAAGUAUUGAACAUGAACAAAUAUAUCUGAACCGAAUGGUAAUGAAGGUGAUCAGCCUUUCAUACCUGACUUAUACAUGCAAUAUGUACAGAGUACAAUUCUACAAUGGCAACCAGCAAUGAUUAUCCAUAAACAUAUCUGAAUGAAACAACUCUUAGUAGAGUUAAGUAAAAACUUACCUGAACCGUUGAUUACCGUUACGCAAAUUAUCUAACUUCGUUUGAAAACUUAAUAUAAACAAUACCGAUCUACACAUUCGAAUAAUAUCAUCACAGUAUUUAAAAUAACCUAAAUACAUUUAUCACAUAAUCCUAUCAGUCUAUAACACACAUAAGACCUAACCUCAAGUCAAACUUUGACAGUCUGAGUCGAGUUCGAUAAAAUUCUAACAUCCCGACGGUCUAAUCAGAUAAAUAACGAGUUUAAAUUCAGUUAAACUCUGCCUAACACUUAACAAUUAUCUUAGAUAAUUUUAAUAUCAGUCAAAAUAUUUUUCAUAAGCUCAUAAUAAUUUUUAAAUAAUUAUUACUAGUUAAUGUGAAUUUUCAAUCACUUAUAUCGUACUUUUAUAAAUUAAAUACCACAUAAUUCCUUUAUCAUUAAUAUCUAUUUAUUAUCAAAUAUUAAUGAAAUACAUGUCAUAAUAUUAUAAUAUAUUUAUAAUAUCACAAUGUAUUUUUAAUACUUUAAAAUCACCUUUAUAUGAUUUUUACCCAAUUAAAUUCAUUAUUUGAUAAUUGCUAUUAAUAUUAAAAUAUUAAUAUUUUCAUGACAAAAUUUAAAAAGUCAUAUUUUAUAACUAAAAAUAUUUUCUAUAACACUUAAAUCAUUUUUUAUGAUUUUUAACGCAUUAAUACUAUUUUUCCAUAAUUUAUUCAAUUAAUUUAUUAAAUAAUCUAAUUAAAAUUAAUAUUGAUUAAUUAAUGAAAUUCAUCACAAAAUAUUAAAAGUCACUAAAAAUAACUGAAAAUAUUUUCUUUUACCAUAAUAUAAUUUUUCAUGAAUUAAAAAUCAUUUUUAAAUGAUUUAUUUAAUAUUAUUAUUAAAUAAAUAAAUACCUUUUAUAUUCCAAAAAUAUUAAAUAUUUUCAAAAUAUACUUAAAAUAAUUAAAAACUAUUUUUCAAGCUUUAAAAUAAUUUUUUAUGUAUUUUUUAUAAUUAAAAACCAUUUAAUUCGAUUUACUUAAUGUAAAAAUAAUUAUUUUCCGAAAUUAAAUGUCAUUAAAGGGCCCUAUAACGACAGACCCGUCGCUAUAGGUGUUCUUGAGCCUGUUCUUCAUCAACCCAUAAACGCAUGUCAGACUACAGGGUGCUUGGUAUUGAUGUAACUCUAUAAACAUCAACAAUUGUUCUGGAAAUUCAACAUCAUAACUAAGAGAUAUAGGCUGUCAAUUCUCAUGUCAGAGCUGUUCUUCAUUUCUAGGCUUUCCAGAAAUGAAGAACAGUUCAUGGGUACUACUUUCGAUCCGUGUAACUUGGAAUCCAGUUAUGUUUUGCGUGAUAUUAAGGUUCAUAUUUGUAGUGGAGAUGUCAGUGAACAAUUUUAUACCAUCAUAUCAGUCUAACAACAACAUAAAAGGGACAUUUAGGCCGGUCAAAGUGUUGCUCAGGAAACGGUUCUUGAAGAUCUGGGUUUCCCAGAAAUCUUCAUCUGUCAACUUGGUCAACUGCUGUUUGACCACGAUUAAAGUCAUCCUGGUAAUGGUAUGAGUAAUCUAAAAGCAUUAUUGUAUAGCCUAUAUGUCAGACAACAACCUUAAAUCAACAACAUGGUCUAAAACAUAAACACAAGCAAGAUUUGUGGCUUGCAAAGACGCUGUCAAACAAGAUCUGGGUUUCUAGGUUGCUUAGAAACCCAUUCCCAUGACCGGUCAACACAGUUUGACUGCUCAUAUCUCUCAAUCUACUAAUGAUCUGGGUGAUCUAAGGACACGGAUCGUUACUUCUCAUAUUAUACUACAAGGAUCAAACAACAAAAUAACCAAAACAUAUACGCACUGCAAGAUCAAGGGCUGUAAAAAUCUUGUCAAAUCACUUGGAAAAAUUCUGGGUUGCCCAAAUUCAAAUUUUGUGCUUGGUCAACAGACAUUGACCGAUCCUAUCUUGCAAUCCGAGUAUUCUCUGAGCUUGAUUCAAGUCUCAGAUCAAAGCGCUAACAUCAAAGAACAGAUCUAUAACAUAACAUACACCAAACAUCAAACACAUACAGAUCUAAGGCCUCUGACAUAUGACUGUCAGGCCAUUUUUUUCUAUAUUUCCAAAUUUGGUAAAUCUUUAAAUUCGAGCAUCAAAAUGAUAUGGAUCUAGGUUUUGGCAACCCAGAUCAUCAAAUGACACCCUCUAACAUAACUUUAACAACCAACUUAUAACAUCUAACAUAAAAUACAAAGAUUUUCAAGAUUUAGGGUUUUUACCACUUUCUAGUCCCAUUUUUGAUUCUGAUCUUGAUGAACUGAUAAUGGAAAGCUAAAGAAUGACAUUAGCUUAUCUUAUCUCACUUUCUCACUCUAUAUCUUCGGAUUUUAGAAGGAGAAAAGCUUGGGAGAAGAAAAAAAAAUAAAGUGGGCUCUUUCUCUCUCUAAAAUCUAUAAUAAUUAAUAUGUUACACUAUAUUGGACUGAUCUAGGGCUAGGGUUAGCCAUCCCCCUACAAGAUCAUGGCUAGAUUUGCUCACUUCCCUCCAAUAAUGCACAAAAGGGCAUUUUAGACAUUUUGAUUUUUUUUGUUUUGUUCUUAAUGGCUUAUUAGUAAAUUGUCCAAACCUUUAAGGUUUAGGGUUUAACCCUUAGGGUUUAGGGUUUGACACUUAGGGUUUAGGGUUUAACCCUAACAUAUUUGAAAUUAAAUUUCUAGGAUUUCAAAAUUUCGGUUUUCAAAAUAGAAAAUUAAUAUUUCUAAAUUAUAAUUAGGAAUUUAUAAUUAUAUUAAAAUUUACUAAUCAUUAUUCAAGCUUGCUAAUUAGGAUUAAUAUUUCAUAAUUAAAAAUACUAAUUUAACAAUUAGGUUUCAUAUUCAUGCAUUAGGGUUUAUAACCUAAGAAUUAGGGUUUCCAAUUUAUUAAAAAUCUAAUUACCCACUAGGGCUAUCCCUAAUUAUGUUUGUAAUGAAAAAUACAUAAACCUUAUACAUAGCAUUCAAAUUAAGAUUUUAAUAUUCUAAUUAGGAUUUCAAAUUCCCGUAACUGAAAUUAGUGUUUCCAGAACCUGUUUCUAGGGUUUCUUAUCAGUCGUUAGGGUUUUCUAACUGAACGUUGAUGUUCUUAAUAUAAUAUUAGGGUUUGCCACUGAUAUAGUUUAUCUGGUCAACCCUUGACCCUUAACCACAAACUAGACACAUAUACAACCAUAUACACAAAACAGAAUCACGUAUAUCCUUAAUCUUGAAUGAUUCACCACAAAGAUUUUUAAAUCCAAAAAUUUCUUUUUAUAAAUGUUAAAUCCAUAUACUUAUUUUAUGUCUAAGUUUAUUAUUUAACCUUUAUUCAAUUAUUUAAGAUUUAAAUAAUUUUUCUAAAUUCUUGGGUCGUCACAGAAGAUGUUUUAAUUUGGUGUACUUCCGUAGAAUUGGAAUUUUAUGGCCAAAACAGAGUCUGUUUCGAGCUUCUGAAAAAACUAGUGCUGAGACGUCGCGCGGGCGCGUAACAUGUGGGCGCAGGCGCGCUGCGUCACGCGAUUAAACAGUUUAACACUUGCGCGGGCGCGCGAGUGGCCUGUCACAGACAGUAAAGCCUGUUUAAUUGCAGGUCGUGUGUAAUGGACUUUGGUUAGUUCAACAUGAAUGUAAAGGUUACUAAAAAUUAAGUGGAUUACAAUAACAUAUUGUAAUGUGUUGUAAUGCAAAGUGUAAAGAUUUGAAAUAAUUAUUUAAAUAAGUUAUAAAAUGAAACCAAAUGUGAUGUUUUUAAAGUUAGAGAUGAAUGAUUAAGUUAUAUUGGCUUGUAAUGAGAUUUCAGAUUCGUUAAGUAUAUUUAACCUACGUGGUUAGGUGUUGAGUUAGGGUUGUGACCUAAAUGAUGGUUUAAACCCUAAAGUUAAUAUUCAUGAGAUUAAUUGUUGUUGCGAUUUCAAUGAUAUAUGUAGGGUAAUUGGAGAAUUAUUUUACACUUGUGUAGCUUACUGUAAAAACCCAAAACCCUAAUAAGACUCAUAUGUAUAAAUCCCGUUAUAUAAAUAAAAUUUCUCUGUUCUGAAUGUGUUACGUAUUAUUAUAUACUUGGUUUGACAAAAUUGACCAAAUAAAUUUUUAUCCGAAAAACAUCGUGCUUGACACCUCGUGCUUAAAUUUUUUCCCAUAAUCGAACUUUUCGAUAAAUUAUUUUGACAAGUUGCUUUGUCGUGCUUACACUGACAAAACGCUUUGUCGUGCUUGUUAGGAUUAGUGAGAAAUUUAGGUUAGUAAACCUAGAUUAACAAACCCUAACCCUAAUUAGCAAAACCCUAACCCUAAUUUAUUAAUUAAUCCCUAAUUAGCUAAUCUAACUCUAAUUAGCUUAUGUUAACACUUAAUCAUGGUUAGUAAACUUCUAUUAGGUACUAAUUAACAUUACUUAACAUUCCUAAUCAUUAGAAACAAAACCCUAAUCAAGAUUAGUGAAGAUUUAAGCCUAAUUAAGCUACUAACUUAAUCAACUAGCUCACAAGUAGGUUGGGAGUCACCAUUACAAGUUCCAAAACAUCACAUGACAUGCUUCCAAACUCCCAAGCAGCAGAAGAGUCACAUAUCAGAUCUUUAUAUAGGCAAGUAGGUGGAAAAAUGACCAAAAAGCCAAGUUGGAGAAUUCUAUAAAUAGGAACCUUAGGGCUGAGCAAACNNNNNNNNNNNNNNNNNNNNNNNNNNNNNNNNNNNNNNNNNNNNNNNNNNNNNNNNNNNNNNNNNNNNNNNNNNNNNNNNNNNNNNNNNNNNNNNNNNNNNNNNNNNNNNNNNNNNNNNNNNNNNNNNNNNNNNNNNNNNNNNNNNNNNNNNNNNNNNNNNNNNNNNNNNNNNNNNNNNNNNNNNNNNNNNNNNNNNNNNNNNNNNNNNNNNNNNNNNNNNNNNNNNNNNNNNNNNNNNNNNNNNNNNNNNNNNNNNNNNNNNNNNNNNNNNNNNNNNNNNNNNNNNNNNNNNNNNNNNNNNNNNNNNNNNNNNNNNNNNNNNNNNNNNNNNNNNNNNNNNNNNNNNNNNNNNNNNNNNNNNNNNNNNNNNNNNNNNNNNNNNNNNNNNNNNNNNNNNNNNNNNNNNNNNNNNNNNNNNNNNNNNNNNNNNNNNNNNNNNNNNNNNNNNNNNNNNNNNNNNNNNNNNNNNNNNNNNNNNNNNNNNNNNNNNNNNNNNNNNNNNNNNNNNNNNNNNNNNNNNNNNNNNNNNNNNNNNNNNNNNNNNNNNNNNNNNNNNNNNNNNNNNNNNNNNNNNNNNNNNNNNNNNNNNNNNNNNNNNNNNNNNNNNNNNNNNNNNNNNNNNNNNNNNNNNNNNNNNNNNNNNNNNNNNNNNNNNNNNNNNNNNNNNNNNNNNNNNNNNNNNNNNNNNNNNNNNNNNNNNNNNNNNNNNNNNNNNNNNNNNNNNNNNNNNNNNNNNNNNNNNNNNNNNNNNNNNNNNNNNNNNNNNNNNNNNNNNNNNNNNNNNNNNNNNNNNNNNNNNNNNNNNNNNNNNNNNNNNNNNNNNNNNNNNNNUUUUUAUAAAAUUUUAGUAAAUAUAAAUUACUUAUAAAUAGAGAUAAAUGAUUUAAAAAUCAUUUAAAGGAUAAAUAAAUAUUUUAAAAAUACUUUAAACCUUCUAAAAUAUAUUAUAGGGAUAAUAAAAUUGUUUAAAAAUAUAACCAAAUUUUGUAAAUAAAAUUUAGUUCAUUUAUCAAAGGUAUUAAAAGUCAAACCCUAUUAAAUCUAACCCGGUAUUAAAUAAAUGUUUUAUUUGAGUAUUGUUAUCAAUACUAACGUGUUAGAUUUAUAUUCUUGAACGUCAUAGGUACUUAAUAGCGUUCGAAUAGUAUAACUUGACUGAUCUACGCUCAGGCAAGUCUUCUAUACCCAAUUUAUUACUUAUGCAAAAUUUAUCAACCCUGUUUAUUCGCUGAACAAGAUUCUAUCUUGCUAUACUGUUGAUAUAAUACACCUAUGUUGAAUUACCUAUUAUUGAAAAGUUAUUGCUAUAGUUCCAGCAUGACUAAGAAAUGAAUUAUUUAUUCAUAUGAUAUUGUUUAUUGAGCAUAAACUGUUGUGUCAAGCCAAAUUGUUUUGGUAAGACAAUCGUAUACUGAAGUUGAGUAUCCCGUAAGGGAGCAAUGUGUAGUCAAUGAAUGUAUUGACAGUAAAUUGUAAGUGUAAUUGAGCACUGUAGGUGAUAUGCAUACUCCUAAGAUGUUGAAUAGGCUGAUCCCUUAUCUCAUAUCUGAAAAGAAUUUUUAAGUCUUUGUGACUGACAGAAAUGAUAAAAAUUCCAGAACUAGUUGGAAUUAGAAAUCCAAAAAUGGUAACAACUAUCAGUCGAAAUUUGAAUUGUUAUAAUUCUUCAAAUCCUAUAUUGUUAUAAAUAUACAACUUGAUGAGCAUGUCAUAGCUCACCCUUGCAAAUUAUUCCCUGUGCAGUUUUAGAUUGUAAUCCUAGAACAUCUGGAGUAAAUAAAGGGAAGCGUCCCUACAUAGAUUAGAUUAUAUUCUUGUCUGUAUGAAUACCUUGUAAUAAGAACUCGUUAUGAGAAUUUUGUAAUCGAAUCAUAAUUAUGAUAUAUAUAACAUAUUUUAUUUCCGUAACCGUGUUUUCUUACAUAUAUAGAUGUAAAGUAAGAUGUCUUUUAUUCUAGUUGAGAUCCUUGGGAACUAUUUAUCUGAGUGAGGGUAUUAAUAGCAUGGACUGUUCAUGUUGUUAUUAAUAUUCUGAAUUUCAGAUAAAUGGUUACUAUCGAUACGAUAGUAUAUAAUCGCAUGAUAUAGACUAUACAUCUGGGUGAGGGUAUUGGUAAUAUGGACUAUUCAUGUUAUUACUGAUACUCUGAAUUUCGGAUAGAUAGACUCUAGUCACAGAUACAGUUCAUAUAUUCAAGUGAGGGUAUCCAACACAGUAAUAUUUCUCUUGAGAAUUACCAUCUGUUAUGGGAUACUGUGAAUCUUGAAUCUAUGGGAAUUAUAUCUGAUAGUCCCUCUAUCUAAUGUAAUAUUUUAAUCAGAUACCAUGGGUGUAUAGAUUUAAAUGCAUUAUGUUAAUUCUCUAUAAACACCAUACCAUACCAGAUACCAUGUGCAGGUUCCUAAACCUUAACUACAAUUGAGCAAGCUUUAAUUUCCUUAUUAACAUUCGAAGCAUAUAUUGUUUUAACACAUUGAUUCAUAGAAGAUUGUUCUAAACUCCUUUGAAUAUAGCAUUUCGCAUGUAUAUCAUGUUUAUUCAUUUAUAUAUAUUGUUGAUAUCCGAUCUUUGACUUUAAUAGCCUUGUUCAGUUAUACACUACUGUAUUAAACCUUUAUUGUUGGAAUUUGAAUAAGUGUUCUAAAAUUCUAGAAACACUGAUAAACUAGUUCCAAACUAAACUUUCUUUAGUGCAGAAAUUCUAAAUUCAAACUGAGACGAACAACCCUAACAUGGGGGAUUUUUGUACGUGUAACAUUUAGAUGUUUGUGCACAAUACAUGGUACAAAGGGCUGAUCCCCUGAGUACGUUAAGAACAGUCGGUAUAGUCUAAUGACUGUUAAGGUUAAGGUAAUAAUACCUAAACACCGUGGACAUAGUACGUGGUCUUAAGACCCUCAGAUAAUUAAAGUUCGAACUUGUUUUCUAUUUUGAUUCGUAGAACAUGUUCUUUAAUAUUCAGUAUUCGUUGUUCACUCUCAUGUUGCUAUUAUACUAUCUUUAUGUCAGUGUGCAAUUGUUUGCUCACUCUUGCAAUUAAACAAUGCAGCUAAAGUUGAAAGAGGUGAUGAUCCAUCUACUAGCAAGGGAAAGGGCAAGAUGUCUAAGUGAUGAAGAAUUAGUUAAAGUUUAUUUAAAUGCUUCAAAUUAUAAGACUUGUUUUAUUUUAUAAUGUAUUCCGCAAACUGAUGUAAUAAUUUUAAGGUUAGAUUACCUAGGAUUUAUUUUGAGAUUAUGAUGUAACCCUUUAAUGGGAGAGAUUAUUGUUUAAGUUAUUUAAAUUAUGUCUUUAUCCUUUGAUUAUGGGUAGUUAGAUAUAAUAGUUUUUGAUAAGUGAGCACCAAAUCCUGUGGAAAUGAAGUACCUGGAUUUGGGGGUGUCAUAGGUUAGUAUCAAAGCUUUAGGUUAUGAACCUUAGGUGGGGAAAAACCUUAGGAAGUAGCAUUUAAGAAGGGCAAAAAGCACUUUUUGGCCACUGUGGUUAUAGUGAUUUAAUGAAUUGGCCACUGUGUUUUUAAAAUAUUCAAUCAGCCCACUGAACUUUUUAAAAAUGUUCAAUAAGCCCAUUCCGUCCUAUUUCUUGGACGGACGUUAACAAAUUGCACAUGUGGCAUUGAAAAAAAAACAAAAUUUUUUUAUUUUCUGAUGUGGCAACAUAAAAAAAUAAAAUAAAAUAACACCAUUGAUUAUGUGGCAUGUACAAUGCAAAUUUUUAGACAAAAAAGAAAUAAUGCAAAUUAUAAACAUAAAUAAAUUAAUAUUUAUAAACAUAAAGAAAUAAUAAAAAUUUCUUUUUUUUUCUUUACCAAAAUAUUUAUAAUAUAUAUAAUAUUAAUAAAAAUUAAUAAUAUAAUACAUAAUAUAUAUAUGUCUUAUUUUAAAAAUAUAAAUAAAAAUACUUUUAUGUUUUAAAUAUUUUAAUUUCACUUUAAAAAUAUAAAAUUAUCUCUUAUUCUUAUUAAUUAUUAUUAACUUUUAUUUUAAUUCUCUUAUUCACUUUUAAAAUUAAUUCUUCUUAUUCUUAUUCUUCUUAUUCAUAUUCUUCUUCUUCACCACCGAACAACUACCACCACCACCACCACCACCACCACCGGCGAUGAGACGACGAUGAGAGAGAGUGAAGAUGAUGAGGGAGGAAGGAGUAGUCCCUUUUCUCUCUCUUCCUCUACUUUGAUUCAAAAAAUUACAGACAACAACGUUUACCCCAAGUCCCUUUUCUCUCUCUUCCUCUUCUUUGAUUCAAAAAAUACAGACAGAAAUUACGAAGAUUAUAUCGGCCGAUCAUGAAGAUUAUAUCGGCCGGACGAUGGCCGGGUCUCUCGUCACCCCUUCGUUCGAAUGUGAUUUUUGUGCCUUUUUUCCAUCCGGGCUUCACCCCUAUUUUCAUAAUCUCCUCUUCCUGAACAAUUAGUCUGUCCCCAUAUAUCAAUACAAGAAUGUUUUCUGUAUUAGGUUCUGUAGAAGCAUUUAAGAAAUUUUAUUUUCGGAGAUGACAUCUCUAGUAAUCUUGAUUUUCUUAACGCAUCCGCACCACAACUCUUCGAGUGUGCACUCCAGCUUCUUCUCAAUCGGCUUAGGCUUGGACCUCCUAGCCGUCUAUUGUGAAUAUAUAAUAGGGGUAGGACCUGCACCUCUUCUGAUGCCGGCUCUUGAUAAAGAAGGGUAGGACUGGUCUCCUCCUCCUCCAUUACUAUGACUAUGAGGGGUGCUGUUAGGGCUACUACUUGUGCUGCUGGUCGGCAUUGUGUUUCUCCGGCCCUUGGUCGGACUUUGUAAUGUCGUCGUCUGCUGCGCCUGAUGUCCAUUUUCAGCUUCUUUCUCAAUUGGGAUUCUGGGAAAUUAGCUUGAGAAAUUUGGAGAUUUCUUUCUUAAGCUGAAUUGCUUUGGAUUUGAUGGAAUUUAGAUAAAGGGAUUUGAGAAUUUAGGUAAAGGAAAAGAAAGAAAUUAAAAUAUAAAAAUAUUUUUAUUUUAAAAUUUUUAUAAGUAUUUUACAAUAUAAAAGUAUUUUUAUUUUUAUUUUUUUCCAAAAAACCCACAUAAUAUUUAUUUUUUUUAAAAAAGCCACGUAAGAAAAGCCGCACAGUCAGCAAAUACACGUAAUAUUUAUUUUUUUCAAAAAAGACACGUAGGAUAUUUUUUAACGUCAAUUACAAAAAAUAGACGGAAUGGGCUUAUUGAACAUUUUUAAAAAGUACAGUGGGCUAAUUGAAUAUUUUAAAAACACAGUGGCCAAUUUGUUAAAUCACUAUAACCACAGUGGCCAAAAAGUUCUUUUUGCCAUUUAAGAAGUCAGAAAAUAUAGAGGUGUUUAACUCUUAUCGAGUUUUAAGGAAUGGAUUUAGGUAUCCAUUAAAGUUAAUUAAUAAAAGACAUUAUGUGCUAUGUGUUAAAAAUUUAUGUGCUCGCGAGUAUCGAAAAAUAAAAAGUAAAACUUAAUAUAUUUUGUUGUCAUGAUGUCUAACGAAGGAGGAUCCAGUCCAGCUAGAGAGGUGAUACCUCAGUUACCUAUAGAUGAUGAACCCCGGGAUAUUCACGUAGUGCGGGAACAGUUGAUCCAGGAGGAUGAGCCUGUGACCGAUCCCGAGGAGGAUAUUUAUGAGGAGAUAGAGGAGGAUGAUGAGGAGGAGGAUCCUAUGGAGUUUCCACCAAACUUCGUAUCGGCUGAGAUGUAUGACGCUCUGUAUGACCGUAACAUAGAGUUACAAGAUAAUGUUGAGGAGCUGAAGGAGAUGGUUGAGAUGCAUCAUAUUUCAUUGGAACAGAAGGAUGUGGAGAUUCAGGAACUUGAUUCAAAACUCGAAAACACGGAAUAGGACUUAGUUCAUACCAAGGGUCAGCAUGAAGACUUGUUAGCAGUAAAUGAGAAGAUGAAGACUGACAUGGAGAAGUUGAAAGAUGAUUUCAAGGAGGAGUCAGCUAAGUGUGCAAGAGCAGAGGAUGCUUGGAUGAAGGCGACUCAACGUGCAGAUCGUGCUGAGGCUAAAGUUUAAGUGAAGAAAGCCUAGAUGAAGGAGAUGGAUUAUGUUUUAAAUUCUACAAUUGAUAGGGCCUAGGAUCGAGUCCAUUAUUACCCACCUUAGUUUGAAGACUCGCCGUGGUUCGUGAUGGAUCGUAGAACGACGUACCGUAUCAUGGAGGAAAAGCGUCGAGAGGCCUUACGACGUCUUAAUAUGCCUAGAUAGAAUAAGAGUGAUAAUAAUAUGUGGUUAAUUAUGUGAGUAAAUAAAUUGUGAAUCCCUUAUUUUGAGAUGAAUAAAGGGAUAGUAUGAGUAUGUAAUCUUUAAACUUGUCUAGUUUAGGAAAGUGGAUGUUUUUAGCGGUUAUGCUAUCUUGAGUAUGUUUUAAAACAUUAUGAAUGAAUAAAAUAUUGGAGUCUAUUUGAAAUAUUAUGUGAUAUAGCUUUAAUCUUAAAAUGUGAUGCCCCCAAAUCCGGGUAUCUUCCAACCCGAGAGAUGGUGCUCCACGAUACUACAUUUCAUACAAUCAUUCCAUUGAAAUAACAACAAAAUGAGUGUAAUUACUAUCUUUGUAUUACAUCUGUAAUAAAUCCUUUCCCAGGUUCAUAGCCGAAUACAUUCGUUGUUCUUCAUAAGUAUAUUACAUACAAAUAUACUAGUCUAUUACAGGAUGAUUAAUUGUCCAUCUUAGCCUUGCCUUUAUCUCUCAUAGAACUCUCAGUUCAUUCGGCUUUAGCUGCAAACAUAUGGUUCAAGCAAGAAUGGGCAUAACUUGCUCAGCAAGUCUUAACAACGAAAUAUAUGAAUAUCACAUCAGUAAGUACAUGCUUUAUAUUAAUAUCAGAACAAUUAUUUACUAAGCAUCCUGAAUCAUUUGACUAACACUUCUACUACAACAAUUCCAGAGUAUAUAUAAUAGCUUAGGAAUGAUGAACCGUUCAAUAGACCAUGAACAUACUCUUUUCGUUUUCAUACUUGAAAAGGAUAUCCGGCUCUAAGGCCAUCCACCGGUCUUUACUUACAAGCACUUCUAGGUGAUCAGCCUAUUGUACUCUAUGUUGAUCAACACUCUUACGUUAAACGUAUUUACGUUUAACAUUUGGCAACCUCGCGUGCCCAUCGAAUAAUCGAUGAAAAUACGUUUGUUUGUUCAUAGACAAACUUACCUUCUCAUCCGUACCAAAUACUUGGCAUAGGAUAGCGUUAACAGUUCUAUAUCAACAGACUUGUAACCAAUUUAAUCUAUCCUUCAAUACUUGUCUAGUCUGAAUAAAAUAGGCAUCGACUCUUAUCUAUUUACCAUUCAUGCAUUGUAUAUCAUGCAUUACAUAAAAACUUGGCUAAUACGAAGGUCAGACAAGAGUUAAGAAAGACUUGCGUUCAAGCGUCUUCAAAUAUAUAUUCCAACUAUUCACAGUCUUUACAGGAUCUACAUGAUACAUUCACAUAGCACACUGUAAUUAGUUAUCAAACAAACUCACUUUACGGUUCUAACCAACUUCUUUCUCUUCUAUGUCUUACUUGUUUUAACUCUGUUAUUAAAGUCGAUUCGACUUUCUAUACUUCGUUACAUUUUAUUAACGUUCUUACGUCCUUAGCCGACAUUCAAUCAUUAAUGGUUAAUUACCAAUGUUGAACGUCGUUCACGGUUCACUCAUUACGUAUUUGCGUUCUUCAUUUAAUUUCCAUUAAACCUUACCCAUUCUUCUAACAUUAACAUCUUAUAAGUGUUUUUAAAGUAAGUCUCAUUAUGUACUUUUAGUACCUUUAUCAUCUUACUUUAGGUCUACAUUCAAAAGGGAACUAAACCUAACUUAGUCAACUUUUUUCCACUGUCGGCGCUGCAGCGCGGCAUCCUUUGUAUAUUAGUGGCAUUGCGGCGCGAGUUAAUAGGGUACUCGGCCGAGUCUAGCGCUACGGCGCCACCACUUUGUACUGGUUUUGGCGCUACGGCGCUGAGUCUGUGCACCAGUUAGCCAUAACAGAUUUGGUUUCUUAACGAAACUCUCGGCUUCCUAAUUUGUUUGUUUUACAUCCGAAUUGACCCAUUCGAAUUCCUAUAAGUCAGGAAUUACAUCCUUUACGUGUUCAUAUAAGAAUUUCAUAUUUUACAAUCCGUUAACUCGGAAUUCACCUUUAAGUUCAUUUUUAAGCGUUCAUUUAACGUUUUCGCCCGUUCAAUACUUGUUUUCUUCGUUAUAAGUCGGAAUGUGACGAUUCCUUCGCCAAUGACUCAUAAUUACCUUAUCUCUCGUGUUGACAUUGGAAACCUAUGUUUUCAAGUCACACGACAACUUUUCACCUUUAAUCCGGACUUUAUGCGUUUUCGACGUUUAACGUCUAUUUUUGCAAAAUCCGCCAUAACUUCAUUACUAAUGUUCUCUAAGCCAAAUCACAUGGAAUACACCAUGAACUUCAUAUCUACAUCCUAACCAAUCACGAUGCACAUAUCUUAGCUACAACAGUUUCCAAAACGUUCAAUUAUAACUAAGUUAACUUUCAAGACUUUCUAUGGGUUUAACUCACGUAAACAAUUACAAUUUCUAUUUGGUCAUGACCUAUUAAUGAUUUGGUCAUAAAAAGGCAUUCUUAUAUCUUCUCUAUAAACAUUCUCCACUCAUCUACGAUUCUUCUAUGAGAAAGAAAUCAAAAAGGAUGAAGAUUACGGUUUAUAGGAAUUUACCUUUGAAAUAGUUAACGUUCUUGAUAAACGUCUUUUGGUUUUCUUGGAAGUAGAAGGAUUAUAGGAUUCUAGCUCUUUUCUCUCUCUCUAAUAUGUUGGACAAACUUUGUAAAACAACAAAAAUCAAACUCUUAGCUUUCUAUUUAUAGAAAACCAAAUGAGGGCAAAAAUGUCCAAUUUUCCACCUCCUUACUUAAUUACCACUUUGUCACCAAGUAAAGUACUUGGUGACCAAGUGAUACACUUGGCUUGCACACCAAGUGGCUGGCCCACCAUGCCCAUAGGUCAUCCCCAUGGGUUGCCCCAUGGGUUUUACCCAUCCCUUGACCCACCGGUUCGACCUGCGGUUUACUUUUUGGAUUGGGCUUGACAUAAAAACAUUGGGCUUUAACCAAUCUAAUAUUGGGCCUUGACUUGGGGGUGUAUACUUAAUUCAUUAGGCUUGUUUAUUAAUUCAAGUCCAAUUGGAUUGGAUAAAAUCCUUAACUCAUACUCUAAUAAUACAACUCGUAUUCUACACGUAUUACUCAUGUAUUCUCUUUGUAUAAUACUCAUAUAAUAAUCGUAUUAUACGUCGUACUAUUCUUCAUACCAUACUCGUAUACAUACUAGUAUAAUACUCAUAUUCCUUGCGUAUAAUAAUCGAAACGACUAUACGCAUUACAUUUCCCUUUUGGAAACCUCUUUCACAAACCCUUAGGUUAUAAGUCCGCAGGCGAAAACUUCGUAUGCCAUAACAGAAAUAUUAUUGGAUAUUCCAUAAUAUUGUCACAUUCUAACAUUAUGCGUUUCUCAGAAUCUCAAACCCUUACUCCGAACGUCAUCGGAUGAAUAGCGUUUUUUUUCCGCAAACAAUCUCAGAAAACCUUCAUUCUCGUCUUGAUAAUUCACAACAAUUACUUCUAGCACAAAGCCUGAAUACUAACCACAUCUAAACAUUCUAGGUCAUACAACGACUUUCGAACAUCUUACUCAUAUAAUAACUCAAUAAAAUUCAUUUAAUCCACAUAAUCAAAUAAAAAUUUAAUUCAUUGAAAAUUCGAAAUUCUCGGGCGUUACAUUCUUCCCUCCUUAUAAGGAUUCUGUCCCCAAAAUCUCGCUAUUCUUACAUAAACAAAUGAGAAAACUUUUCCUUCAUUUUACUUUCGAGCUCCCACAUUGCUUCUUCAGCAUCGUGGUUACUCCAAAUUACCUUUACGGAAGGUAUUACUUUAUUUCUCAAGACUUGUUCCUUCCUAUCAAUAAUCUGAAUCGGAAGUUCUUCAUACGUUAAGUCUUUUUCUACUUGAAUAGACUCAUACUCUUUUGCAUGCUUAUAGUCCAGUUUAUAAGGACACAACACAAACACGUGAAACACAUUGUGUAUUCUUUCCAUUUCUGGAGGUAAGACUACUUCAUAAUCUACCUUCCCUAUCCUUCUUAAAAUCUCAAAAGGUCCUACAAACCUUGGACUUAACUUCCCUUUCUUUCCAAAACGUAUCUUCCCUUUCCAAGGCGAUACUUUUAGAAAGACAUAAGACCCUACUUCAAACUCCCUCUUCUCUCGAUGAGGAUCUGCAUACUUCUGUUGUCUAUCUUGAGCCGCUACUAAUCGAGCUCUUAUCAGCUUUACCAUAUCUGUCGUUUGUUGUACCAUCUCAGGUCCCAACAUUCGACGUUCACCUACUUCGUCCCAACAAAGUGGUGUUCUACACUUCCGUCCAUACAACUCUUCGUAAGGCGGCAUGCCUAUACUAGCGUGAAAACUAUUGUUGUAAGCGAAUUUUACCAACGGUAGAUGUUCGUCCCAACUCCCUUAGAAAUCCAUAACGUAAGAUCUUAACAUAUCUUCUAGCGUUUGAAUUGUCCGUUCGCUUUGCCCAUCCGUUUGUGGAUGAAACGCCAUACUUAAUCUUAACUGUGUUCCCAUUUGCUCUUGCAAACUCCUCCAAAAGUUCGACGUGAAUCGUGGAUCACGAUCGGACACAAUUGAAAUAGGUACUCCAUGUCUAGAAAUGAUUUCUUUGACAUAAAGCUUAGCUAACUGCUAUAAUUAUACCUAACUCCUAUUGGUAGAAAAUGAGCAGAUUUAGUUAACCGAUCCACUAUUACCCAAAUAGCAUCGUAUCCCUUUCUUGUCGUUGCAAGUCCCACCACAAAGUCCAUGGUGAUAUGCUUCCAUUUCCACUCCGGAAUCUCCAGUGGUUGUAUCAAUCCACGCGGUCUUUGGUGUUCAGCCUUAACUUUCUGACAAGUUAAGCACUUACUAACAUAUUCUGCAAUCUCCUCUUCAUGUUCGACCACCAAAAGUUCUGAUGAAGGUCUUGAUACAUCUUAGUACUACCAGGAUGUAUCGAGUACCUCAAACUAUGAGGCUCACACAUAAUCUCUUCCUUCAACUCGGAAUUAUUUGGAACCCAAAUUCUUCCCUCAAAAUGAAGUAAACCGUCUUUAUCAAGGUUAUACUUAGUCUUCACGUCAUCCUUCAUUAUCUUCUUCAUCCGCUCGCAUUCCUCAGUACUCAACUGUACUUCCUUAACUCGUUCCAUUAUCAUUGGUCGAGUUUCUAUUGCAAAUAACAUCUCCCUCGUUUCCCUUGGAAACUUAACUUGUAAUUCCAUCCUCGCCAUCUCUGUGAUUAACUCAUCCUAAGUCGUUAACAUUGAUAGUUUCUCUCUACCAUUCCGUGUAGCGUCCCCGAAUCCGGGUCCCGAAUCGCCGCGGAUUCGGUACACUAAUCAUUCUAUAACUGUUUGCGGAAGAUAUAAACAUAGAUUGUUUAUACAUUACAUUACACACUAUUCCCCAAGGUCGAGUAACCUUUACUUAUACACAAUUCAUAAGCUAUCUAACAGAUAACAUAUUAUGCACCUAUACUAUUACAACUAGCCGCAUAAUUUAUCCCAAGUUGUACUUGGCAUUAACCUUUUCCUGUAUCUGGCCGUAUUCGCCUUAUCUGCAAUGUUUUAUCAUGAUAUAGCAAGGGUGAGCAUGAAAGUUGCCCAGCAAGUUUAAAAAAAAAACAAGGUAAAGAUAUAUCAUGAUUGAAAGAGUUUGAAUAAUAAGCUGGCUAUCCUUCACAAUGUAGUUGUGAAUUAGCAUGAACAAAAUUUCAAAGCUGAAUGAACAUUGAAAAUGAACAUAACAAUUAUAUCUGAACUGACUGGUAAUGAAGGUGAUCAGCCUUUCAUACCUGAUGAAUACAUGCAAUAUGUACAGAGUACAAUUCAUAAGCAUAUCUGUCUGAAACCACUCUUAAAAGAGUUUAAGUAAAAAGAACUUGAAAAACUUGCCUGAACCGUUGAUUACC
rnacentral:lncRNA from 1 species